rnacentral:rRNA from 1 species
CCCUUAGAUGUUCUGGGCUGCACGCGCGCUACACUGAAGCGUUCAACGAGUAUUCACCUUGCCCGGGAGGGUUGGGUAAUCUUUUGAAAACGCUUCGUGAUGGGGAUAGAUUAUUGCAAUUAUUAAUCUUCAACGAGGAAUUCCUAGUAAGCGCGAGUCAUCAGCUCGUGCUGAUUACGUCCCUGCCCUUUGUACACACCGCCCGUCGCUCCUACCGAUUGAAUGAUCCGAUGAAUAUCAUGGAUUGAGGAUGCAAGCAGGUUCGCCUGUCUUCAUCUUCGAGAAGUGAAGUAAAUCUUAUCAUUUAGAGGAAGGAGAAGUCGUAACA